UCCCCGGUGGCUCAGCAGUAAAGAAUCUGCCUGCAAUGCAGAAGACACAGGAUGCCCAGGUUCAAUCCCUGGUUUGGGGA
rnacentral:tRNA from 1 species